rnacentral:lncRNA from 1 species
UGGGCCCUUCUUGUUCUAUGCUCCUCAAUUCAGCAAUUGGGAAUAACACUUGCAUCUCACUACAACCUGAAACUAUAACCUCUUCAAGCUUUUGUAAAAAACCUUGCGGCUGGGGAGCAUUGCACAUCUCUUCCAAAUGAAACAUACGACUUAAUGAUAACUUUCUCAAAUUAGAGAGUGCAGUGAUUGGCACUUGCUGCUUUGAUGCAUCAAUUAAGCAUUGCAUAGACUGGCACCCUCGAAGAUCUAGAGAAGUCAACUUUCUAAAUCCCAAGUCCAAGCUCGGAAUAAGGUUUGGGUGACCCUCCACAUAACCCAAUUCAAGAGAUUCUACAUCUUCAAGUAGUUGCUUGCAUGCAUCUACAGACUCAUCGAUUCUCAACAUAAAUCUUAUCAUCUUCAGGAAAUAAAGAGCACAACAAGAAACAUGUCUUUGUCUCCAUAUUCUUCAAGUAGUCGAAGCUCGCCUCAAGACANNNNNNNNNNNNNNNNNNNNNNNNNNNNNNNNNNNNNNNNNNNNNNNNNNNNNNNNNNNNNNNNNNNNNNNNNNNNNNNNNNNNNNNNNNNNNNNNNNNNAUCUUUGAGUCUCCGGUAUGCAGCUUGCCACUCAUAAUGGGUUUUACCUUUCAAGGCACUUCCCAGUGGAACUAUAGCUAUAGGCAAACCCCCGCAUUUUUUGCCAAUUUGAUUUGCUCGGAUUUUAAUAGAAUCAUCAGAAAAGUCAUCUAGACCUGCUUUCUUUUCAAACAGAGUCCUAGCUUCAUCAUCAUUCAAACAGCCAAGUUGUACCAGGUUUUGACAAUCCAUAGCUUGACAUACUUGUUGACGGCGUGUUGUUAAAAGAACUUUGCAGCCUUUAUGAUCAUCCCCAAUUGGAAUUCCAAUCUUCUCCUUUAAGUUGAUGGAUUCCCAAAUAUCAUCAAGGAUGAUAAGAAUCCUCGGUUCAUUCUUCAGCCUUAACCAUAAUUCUUGCUCGGAUCUUCUUCCUUGUUCAUUCUUCAUAUCAAAGCCUAUGUAUUGUGCAAUUUCAUCUUCAAUUUUCUCAAAAUUUGGCUUUUGAGACACAACCGUUAUCACAACUUUGUCAAACAAUUUCAGUUUUUGAGCUUGACUUCCAACUUCACGAGCCAGGGUGGUCUUGCCCACCCCUCCCAUCCCCCACAACCCAAUCAUGUUGAUAUUCUCAUCUUUUAAGGCUUCAAUGAUUUGAUAAAAUGCAGUCUCUGAAGAUUUCGAAAACACAAAUUCCUUAGAACAUAGGAAAUCUAUGGUGGGAAGGGCAGUAGGUGCAGGGUAACCGACGGGUCCAAGUUGACCAAAUUUGUCCAAAAGCUCAGAGAUAUCCUGGAUUUUCUUCAUUGCUUUCUUGCUUAAUUGAUAUCUCCAACUCCAAUUAGGGCACCAAUUGAGACACCUCUUAUUCAGUUGGAUUUCCUCAUCCAGAGUUCCCAUAUCAGACAGUGUUUCGUCUGCCCUUGAUUGCAAGUUCUGUACAUCAUCUUCAAUUAGUAGAAGCCGGUUUUUAGCUUCCUCAAUCUUAAGUAGUAGACGCUUUCGUGCAUCUGCAAGUUCACGCUUUUUCUCUCGAAGCUUUUCAACAUUGUCAUGAAAGCGACAGACAUAAUCAAGUUGACGUCCUACCGGCUUCACCACACAGUUCACAACCAGUGUUCCAACUGUGUUAGAAAGAGCAGCCUCGCAAAAUCCGCAACCCAUGAUUGACAAGCUCAUGUUCCAAGUUCAAACACUGUAGUGAAUCAUAAGUAAUUACCAUAAAAAAAUUUAAAGAAUCAAAAAGUGUUUUGAAGAUUAAGACACUACUUCUUAUACAUACCAAGGAUGGUGAAAGACAACUCAACCUAUGAGAAUCAAUGAGCUGUUCUUUCAACUCAGUCCAGCUGAAAACACAAUGAGAAAUUUAAUAAACAAAUAAAAUCAUAUACGAGUGUAAUGUCAUAUAAUUAUAACUAAAACAGACAGUUAAUUACUUAUAAAAAUAAGAAUUCAAAAUAUUUUUACCCUCACAGUAACAAUAUUAUAGAUAUAAUGCUGGAAAAUAUAAUAAACAUAUCCACUUACCAUUUCAAAAUCCAAACAGUCUUUUAGCUCUUACUUGCUUCAAGAAAAACAUAAAAAGAUGAGAUGAGAUAUAAAAAACAGAAAUGAAGCAUAUAUAAAUAGAUUUACCUCACUUGGGAUCUUUUAAAAUCAAACUACACUUAGGGAUCAGAAUAUUCUUACUUCAAAACAAUCAAAAGGGAGGGAUUUGAAGGUUGGUUUUGUUUUUAGCAAAAGUAAGUAAAACUGAAUACAAAAAGAAGGAACUUGAAGAAAGGGGGAAAAAAACAAAGUAGAAAUUGAAGUUUAUCUGCCUGGAAAAUUCAACCGCUGGGAAAAUUUUACUAUUUCACUAUGACCUCUGAAUCCCUACGAUGCUCCGCCACGAAAACCUGAGUUUUCUUGUAGACAAACAAAGACAUGACAGGAUAGGAGAAAACUUAACAAAAAGGUGGGAGUCUUCGGGUCAUAUUUUUACCCUGGUUUGCUCUAUUAUAAAAGAGUUAAUUACUUCAACCAUCUCUAAAUUAUGACUACCAAUUUAAAUUGGUCCCCAAACUUCAAUUUAUUCUAAUUACAUCUCCAAAUUAUCGAUGCUAUAUCAAUCAAGUCCUUUUAUUAUUACGAUCGUUAAAUGACACAUCAAAUCUUAUGUAGCUAAAUUUAAAAUAAAAAAUUUAAAGAAAUAGAAUCAUAUUACAUAACUUUUAAAAUUAAAAACAAAAAUUAAGUAAAAUUGAAAUUAAAAAAAAGUGAAUGAUAAAACUUUCAUAAAAACUUCCAAAACCUUAAAACUAGGGUUUUUAAAACAUUUAUUUUUAAAAUAUUCAUUUCUUAAAAUAUUAUAUCACAUUAGAUGUAACAUGUCAUUUAACAAUUAAACUGGGUAAAACGACUUCUGUAGUCUCUCUCUCAAUUUUGAUAUUAACUAAAUUGGUCCCUUUAAAAAAUCAAAUUAAUUUUGUAAGUAAGCAAAUAACGCGUUCUAUUAAUUUGAUCACGAUUUAACAAAUUUAACCCGCAAUAUUUUUGUAAAUGCAUAAAUAUUGAGACAAAAUUUGUUGAUUUUAUUUACAAGUAAGACCAAACUAACAAAAUAUGUAAAUACUAAUGGCUAAAUCUGUUAUUAUACCAAUCAAAACUAUGCAUAAUUGAUAAGGAUUUAGUUACUAAUUGUCUAAAUUGACAAGGAUUUAGUUACUAACAUUAAAUUAUUCCUUUUUUUUUAGGGAGACUUAUUUACACAAAUUCAAAAUUGUGAGCGGUUGGAGAGAUUUUUUUACUAUCAAAUUAAUAAUUUUGGUAACAUUUUUUUUAAAAUGUUAAAAUUUCCAUUCCUCGAAAUUAACAAUAAAUAAGAAUAGGCUUUUCAAAAAUUCGUAAAAAUACAGAAUUUUCAAUGUUGAAAUCAUGGAUUUGGCUAUGGAAACCCCUAUUAUUUCCUUAAUAAUAAUUUGUUUAUAAAUAUAAUUUUAAUAUAAAAGAUUUUCAUUCACUCGAGUAGUGUGAUAAAAUCUAAUAGAUAUAGAAUUGAUUUCUCUAUUUUAUUUAAAUACAAGUAUUGCAUAGAAUUGGGUAGAAAAGUAUAAAUGAAAGCAAGACUCGAUUGAGAAGCUGUUAUUUCAUUUUAUCAUUUCAUAUUAGUUGAUAAAAUCAUAUAUACAAUUCGAGUGUAAAGGGAUAUGAUUAUAAAUUGGAAGGAUAUAUUACAUUAUUACACAGAUAAAUAUAAUUCUAAUGAUUAAAAUUAAUUAAACUAAGUCUAUGUACUUUUUAUUAAUUUAUUUAAAUUUGAAAAUAAUUAAAAUUAAAAACUACCCAUAGUAAUUGUUAAGUUUUUAUCUCUACUAAAUUUUGGUUUAUUGAGUUAGAGUGACACUAUGACUCGCUCUCAUAUAUAUACAUUAUAGAUGAUAGAUUAUAUAUAUUAUAUAUAACGCAUUUGAUUAAAUUGGUGUCACGAGUUAAUUAGACACUAAUUCGAUCGUAAAAUAAUUAAAAUACCUUUACUUUAAAAAAUAACUAAUAUUAUUUUAAUAUUAAUAUAAAGGUAUUUUUAUCUUUUCAUACUUUUAUUUAAUAUUCAAAUAAAACAACUUAAAAAUAUUAUUUAAGAAUCAAACACAAAACCAGUUGAAAUAUUUUUAUAAAUAUACUUUUAAUAUAAAAUAUUUCCGUUUGUGAUAAAGUCUAGUAGAUAUAGAGUUUCUCUAUUUUAUUUAAUGAAAUGAACUUUAUAGCUUUUAUUUCAUUUUGUUUGUUUUAUUUUUGUCAAUUCAUUUAAAUUUAUAAAAUUAAGAGUGAGUAAAACUCGAUUCGAUUCGAAAAGAUUGAAUUUUAAGUUAAUUGAAUCGAUUUAAAUUUUACAAUUUGAAUUUUAUAAAAAAUCACAAUUAAAAUUAUAUAUAAGAAAGAAAUGGCGUUCAAUUAUAUAAAAAAUCACAAUUAAAAUCACAAGUAGGCGUAUCACUUUCUCUUCUUCCUCAUUCAGAUUUGUCUCAUCUCCUUCAAACACCUGCUCUAAUUUGGAGACCUGUCUAAGGCAUAAUCCACUUAGUUUUGGAAGGCCGCCAUGAACAAGAGGAAUCGGGAAGAGACAUUUCAAGUUUUCACAGUUAAUGAUUGUAAUCUGCUUCAAAUUAGGGAAGCAAAUAGGAUGGAGAUGAUGUUGUGAUGGAGUUCGAUGCUUCUCAAUUAUUUGCUCCAAUUCCUCACAGUUAAAUAUACCCAACCUGGAUAACUGUAGCAAAUUUCGAGCGAUAGUAGGUGAGAAGAUGUAUCUUAACCUUCUGUAAUCUUGAACCGUCAAUUGACAGAGAUUUUGAAAGUAUUCAACUUGGAUGGGAGCACUCCAUAUCACCCGCAGUUCAGUUAGUUCGGACAAGUUUAAGAUCUUCAGACUUACAUCUAAAAUCAAAUAACUCUUCAAAAUUGGAAAUUGUUGAUGUUUCUCCUCUCAUUUCUGGGACUAACUUUUUUGUCAUCUCCGACAACUCCAAUACCUAUAAACAUAUCAUCAAUCAUCAAUUUCAAAGUAUUCAAAGCGAUUAACAUCUCACCUAUCAUUUUAUUAAUUCAUUUUCUUAUNNNNNNNNNNNNNNNNNNNNNNNNNNNNNNNNNNNNNNNNNNNNNNNNNNNNNNNNNNNNNNNNNNNNNNNNNNNNNNNNNNNNNNNUCUUUUCAAAUCUUUUAUAGUCAAAGAAAUCAAUUUUAAAAAAAAAAAUGAAAAAUCACCAAAAUAAUGGUGCAAAAACACAACGUAAAUAAUAUUAUGUCAUACUAGAUUGAGUUUGCAAUAUAAGAUUAAAAUGUCUUAACGAUGUAUUCUAUAUAAAUAAUAUAUAUAUAUAUCUCAUAUAGAUUAUAAGAGUAUUCAAAUGAAAUUUUAUUUAUGUUAUUAAUUGGUAUUGUAAUUAACUAAACUACUUAAAGGUUUAUUUACAUUAGUUUUAAACUAAAAUUCUAAAAUGAAAACUAUCUUUUAAAGAGUUAUACAAACAUCUAUUUAUUUUAGACAAUAAAUUAUGAAAAGGUGAAGAUUUCAAUAAAUUAUAAAAUAAAAUCUACUUUCUAAACAACUACUCAAACAACAAAUUAUUUAAAAAAACAAACAAACAAAUAAAUAAUAUAAACCAAAAAGAAAAAUCUUACUUGUAUCUUAAUCGAAAUAAUAAAAUGUGUCAAUUGAAAACAAUUGUACACUUUUAACUUUUGCAAAGACGAUUGUGAGAGUAUAAUGUCGUUCAAAUCCCUUCCUUUCAAUUGAGGCAAAUCAAUCAACGAAACCUGAAAUGAAAAGCAUAAUCAAAUUUCCCAAUCUUUGACCACAGGACAAUAAGGAAAGUAGAUGUCAAGUUCUUGCAAUGAGAUACACAUACUUCCCUUAGACUUUAGAGUAGACAUUUGUAUGCCAAUUGUGGAUCUUGGAUUAUAUUGCGAGCAACUCUUUUAUCUUCAAAUUAUGCAAUUACCCAAGGCUAUUAGCAAUAGACAUUGGGAAGAGAUACUUCAAAUUAUCACAGUUUUUAACUUCUAUUUCCCUUAAACUUUGGAGGCUUAUGCAUGGCACUUGUGAGUCUUGGAUUAUGCCUUCCAAGCUCCGGCAACUCUUUAUCUUCAAAGUAUGCAAUUGCUCAAGGCUAUUAGCAACAGACAGUGAGAAGAGAUACUUUAAAUUAUCGCAUUUUGGAACUUCUAUUUCCCUUAAACUUUAGAGGCUUAUGUAUGGCAGUUGUGAGUCUUGGAUUAUGCCUUCCAAGCUCCGACAACUUUUUAUCUUCAAAGUAUGCAAUUGCUCAAGGCUAUUAGCAACUAGGAAGAUAUAUAUCAAAUUAUUGCAUCUCUCUAUUUCAACAAUCUUCAGACUUUGGAGGCAUAAAUGACGGCUGGGCCCUUAUUGUUCUAUGCUCUUCAAUUCAGCAAUCGGGAAUAACACUUGCAUCUUAUCACAAUUUGAAACUAUAACCUCUUCAAGCUUCUGUAAAAAACCUUGCAGCUGGGGAACAUUGCACAUCUCUUCCAAAUGAAACAUAUGACUUAAUGAUAACUUUCUCAAAUUAGAGAAUACAGUGAUUGGCACCUGUUGCUUUGAUGCAUCAAUUAGGUAUUGCAUAGAGUCGCACCAAUCAAGAUCUAAAGAAGUCAACUUACUAAAUCCCAAGUCCAAGCUCGGAAUAAGGUUUGGGUGACCCUCCA